GGGGGGGCAAAACUGGCAGUCGAGCGAGCUUGCCUAGAUGAUUUUAGUGCUUGCACUAAAUGAAACUAGAUACAAGCGAGCGGCGGACGGGUGAGUAACACGUGGGUAACCUGCCCAAGAGACUGGGAUAACACCUGGAAACAGAUGCUAAUACCGGAUAACAACACUAGACGCAUGUCUAGAGUUUGAGAGAUGGUUCUGCUAUCACUCUUGGAUGGACCUGCGGUGCAUUAGCUAGUUGGUAAGGUAACGGCUUACCAAGGCAAUGAUGCAUAGCCGAGUUGAGAGACUGAUCGGCCACAUUGGGACUGAGACACGGCCCAAACUCCUACGGGAGGCAGCAGUAGGGAAUCUUCCACAAUGGACGAAAGUCUGAUGGAGCAACGCCGCGUGUGUGAAGAAGGGUUUCGGCUCGUAAAGCUCUGUUGGUAGUGAAGAAAGAUAGAGGUAGUAACUGGCCUUUAUUUGACGGUAAUUACUUAGAAAGUCACGGCUAACUACGUGCCAGCAGCCGCGGUAAUACGUAGGUGGCAAGCGUUGUCCGGAUUUAUUGGGCGUAAAGCGAGUGCAGGCGGUUCAAUAAGUCUGAUGUGAAAGCCUUCGGCUCAACCGGAGAAUUGCAUCAGAAACUGUUGAACUUGAGUGCAGAAGAGGAGAGUGGAACUCCAUGUGUAGCGGUGGAAUGCGUAGAUAUAUGGAAGAACACCAGUGGCGAAGGCGGCUCUCUGGUCUGCAACUGACGCUGAGGCUCGAAAGCAUGGGUAGCGAACAGGAUUAGAUACCCUGGUAGUCCAUGCCGU
rnacentral:rRNA from 1 species